UCUAAGGCACUUCACUUCCCCAGUUGUCUUGCUGGUACGGUGGUUCGACGACAAUGGCGGUGGAGAGCGGCGGGAGGAAGAGCGCCACCACAUCGAGUGCUUGCCGAUCGGUCCAGGUGGUUCUUUCGAUCCUGGUGAUUGGAGUUUGGUGGUAGGAAUGCGCGAGCACAUCACGUGCAGAGGUAUGGGAGAUCGAGCAGGUGGAGGUUACUUGUCGUCUUGUUCCGUGCGACGUCGUAGAGACUCCGGCGAGCGCGCCGCCCCCGCCGCGGUGGCCCACCUGGGUUCAUGCCGUGAGCGCCGCGCUCUGCCAGCUGGCCCCCUCGCCCUCUACUGCCGCCACCGCUCCCGAGGCUGCGGCAGAUAUGACAUGCGGGUGGGGAGCAUGGGCUCGAGGAGGGGGGCUGGGGCAUGGGGGGCCGCGCUGCGGAUGCUUCGCCGGAGAGGGGGGGGGGGGGACUUGCGCUCCUGCUCCGCGCGCUCUGGGCACUCAAGCGGCCCGACGACGCGUUCCUCGCCGCGGCCCUGGCUCCGAGCCAGCGGCGUGGGGGUGGCCCGGGCGGGAUUCCCCGUAGGGGCCGGCCGCCGCAGGCUGGAGACCAUCGACCUUGCACGCUUGUUCCACCAUGAGCCAAGAAGGGAAAGGGAGUCAUUCCCCCUCAGAUGUGAAUCCGAAUUGUGAAACAGUCCAAUGAGCCUAUAAGUGGCAAAUAGUCGAAGUUGCUCAAAGAGGAUUGCAUUUGGGAGCAGGGAUGACGAAACCAACGGAGAAACCACUGCGGAUACUGCGAUUAUCGCAGUGAGAAACUGCCCAAAGCCAUAGAAAAACCGCGAUAACCGGGCGACAGUUUCUGAGUUUGGAGCGGUAACCCAAACCUUGUUUGGGAGUGCGUCAUUGAAGAUGAUGGUAAAUAGUCGAAAGUUGCUCAAGAGGAUGGCAUUUGGGAGUGCGCUAUUGAAGAGGAUGUCAAUAGUUGAAAUUGCUUUAGAGGAUGACAUUUGGGAGUGAAAUUGCUUAAGAGGAUGGCAUUUGGGAGUGCACUAUUGAAGAGGACGUCAAAUAGUCGAAAGUCCCGUGUUUUGUCUGGUUUCAAACUCGAGGGUGUCGAGGGUGAUCUGAAAUUCCCCUUGCCAGUAGCAUGACUCAUUACAGCAGUGUCCCCUAUUGUUGCACUCUUUGUGAACAUGCUGUGGAAGUCAAAUAAGAAGCACAUCUGCUACUGUCUCAAUCCUGAACCAAACAUUUAUAAUCUUGUGAUCUCUGCUGAUGAUCCAAGGGAUAUCAUUGAUACUGUCGAGGAGAAAAUUUUGGUAGGUGAACCCGAGGAACAUCAUUGAUUUACAGGCAACAAGCUGGAUAUGUAGUGCUCAAUCAGCUAAGGAUGAAUCACUGGUCUCAGGAUACCAUCAAUAUCUAAAGACGAUGACUCAUUGGUGUUGCUGGAUGAUGCUUGUGCUGUCAUGCUUUGUCUCUGAUCACUUGGGUUUUGCCAAAAGUUUCUGCGUAGACCACUUGAGCUCAGGCUGCUUGCAGCGAGGCUGAGGUCUGACAAAAAUGGUUGCAGUGGUGUAUUUCCCUCAAGCAGGCUCACUACUUUGGACAUCUUUGGUCUCAGUGUUGGUGCUGCAUUGGUGCAUAAGAGGGCUACAUUUAGCAGGAGGAGUGCCUCUUCUGUUGAGUAAUCAGAGCCCAGGUCUGGAUCUACCAGCUCUAAGAGGUUUCCUCGCUCGUGUAGAACACAAGCCUGCAACACAUUUAGGAGAAACUACUUUUAAGGUGAAUAGGUCUCCACCAGAUUGCUGCAAUUAAGUGUGACAGGAGAAGAAGCAUUGGCUAGGACCUGAGCUCCCCAUUGUGAAGUUAUUAAAAGAUAUGUCCCUGCAUUUAACAUUCGGUAUUAUACUCGAUCAAACAAGGUGACACCUUUUACUGCUAAAUUAAAUAAAACAUUUUUUUGUAGGGAAAUUAAAUACCAUUGUCACAAGCAUGUUGAGCAAAAACACAUAUUGUUAGCGUUUUUUAGGUAAAAAGGCACCUAAUUAGUUUUCUAAUACCUCGCAUGACCUUUUUUUCCCAGAAAAUGGAUUAAAAGCUGGCCUCUACAUCCAAAACAGAUGUACACAUCCAAUAUCAUGCAUGACUUAAGCAUUAGAAUGCCAGCGCCUCUUAUUUAUAAACUGAAUUUAGGUUUUCUAAAAUUGUAAAGAACAAAAAUGAAUGACAAAUCCUAAUGAGUCUACGGGCACACACAUAUAAGACUGAUGAAAUAUUGUAUCUCUUCAGAGGGUGAAUACACAAAAUAACUUACGCAAUCCUGUUUGUCUUCAGUAUCCAUUCAGGUAUGCUCCCAUUGAGUGAAUUUCCUGUUAGAUAUCUGCAGGCCAAUUUUGGUUGAGAUGCAGUGAAUUUCCAGGUACAUAUCUGUAGGCCAAUUUUUGUUGAGAUUAUGCGAGAAUAAAGUUCAAUGAGAUGGCAAUUUUAGUUUGGUUUUCAUUAAAUAUCACAACUUACAUCUGAUCUACACUUCCCAGGUUAGCAAAUGAACCCGGUAUUUCUCCAGUCAGGCUAUUAAAACUCAGAUCCCUGCACAAACAAUAUUUAGUAAAUAUGUGAGGAACAUAAAUAUCUUGCAAGAGCAAGAGAAAUCAAGGAUAAAUGUGGCCAACACAACAUACUAAACUUUGUCCUGACAUAAUUUUGUGAUUUACACAAUUGACUGUACAUGUACUUUUACAAUAACAUGCUACAUUCCUCUAUAUCAAAUUCACAUGAGGCCAACCGACGAAGAAUCGCGCAAAUUUCUGAAGGGGCCAAUGAGCCCAACACAACAUGCUAAACUUACAAAUGCUUAAGAUUUCCCAUGUUCCCAAUGUAAGAUGGAAUGCUUCCACUGAUAGAGCAAUUCCGAAGUAUGCUGCACUCAAAUAAGUUCAUGUUAUAUAUAUGGACACCUAUAAAUGAAAAGGUUUAAUAACUCAAGAAACAUCAUAACCAUACAUUGUCCUCAUGGAUACCAGAACACUUAAGUCUGGGAAAACUGAUCCUCUACCUCUCAGAUCACUAAUCCUCCUGGUUAAUACACAGAGGCAACCAUGCUUUUGUGAGAAUUUAUACCCAACAAUUAUAUAACAUAAAGUAUAUAGAAUAAUUAUAGUUUCAAACAUUUGUGCUGACAUACAGAUCAGAAAGGUUUUUCAAUUCGGAAAAUCCUGAGGGGAUAGGCCCUUCCAAUAAAGAUCCUUCAAUUUGCCUGCACGGUUACAGGAACAAGAUGUUAUUAAACUAAACAAUGCUGUGGAUCCAGAGUGAUAUUAAAUUAAAUAAUGCAAGGAACUUAUUACUCUUUUAAACAUAAAUUUGCCGACUCACAAUUUUAUGAGCUUUGUCAACUUAUCCAAGAAACCAGGCAUUCUUCCAGAAAAAUUGUUACCAGAAAUCCUUCUGUCAUCAAUGUCAGUAGUUAAACAUUAGAAAAACAGAAUCUAUGGAAUGAAGCAGCAAAAAAUAAAUUGAUGCAGUUAUCUUACAAGUCGGUUAAAUUGGUUAACCUAGCAAGAGCAGCAGGAAGAGGUCCGGAAAACUCAUUGGUCGAUAAUACUCUGAGUUUCAGUAUCAGUUUAGAAGUCAUAAGCAACUCCAUUUGUCAAUUCAACCAGUAAUGAUGUCUUCCUUAUUUUUUACCUAUAAUAUAAAUAACAAAAUACUCACAAUUUCUCCAUUUGCAUGAGAUGUCCAAUUUCGGGUGGGAUUGGGCCAUAAAAAUUGUUUCCUUCAAUACUCCUGCAGAUUAUAACUUUGCCAAAUUAAGGAUUUAGAAAAGAAAAUUCCAAACUAUUGAACAUAAAUUAUUUUCAUUUAUUCUUACAGGUUAGUCAGGGUUGUGAUCUUUGUAAGAGCCAUGGGAAAAGGCCCCGACAAAUUGUUUCCCAUUAAUGACCUGCAUGUUUCAUAUGAGAUCAAUAAAUGUGUAUAUGACAUUUAUUUAUAAUAUGACUAUCUUAUUUCUGUUCCCAUCAUGCAAAUUUUCAUCUCACCCACGCAGCUACAGCAAAUGUAGUCAGUAUUUUGACUUUACAAAAUUUAUGCACAUUGUCACAUGGUUCUUUGGUGUGACUUUUCUGCUAAUUUAUAAUAUGAAUUUGUUAGAUGAUAUUAAAUUAAGCAAGAAGGGGAAGUAUCUAACAUUUCCACAAUGGCAUGACGGUGUGGAAUUCUGAUGACUGCAAAAGGAGGGAAGUUUUUACAGGAUGAUAUAAUGCAAUAAUCUUUAGAGAAACUUUGUGGUCUUUAAGAAAGUAACUAGAGGUAUCAAUUUUUUAGUGUAAAAUUUUGGUACAAGGAGAUAUGAAGUUUUUAUACUAAAAAUGGGUAUCUCUAGUUACCUUUUUAAGGACAGUAAAAAAGCUACUAACUCCUAUAUAUAUCGCUAUCUCGUAGAUAUAGGACUGGGAGUAUUAUAUCCAAAGUUAAGCUCAUGGUGGACCCUUGCACAACAUCAUUUUGAUUAAGAAUAUAAGAAUUCAAACAAAAACUAGGAGAUGUUGAAUUUUAACUCUUGGAUUUUCUUGCUGGGUCUCAAAUUCAGUAUGUACAAUGCAAUAGUUGAAAAGGGUUGGCAGAAUUGUACAAAAGACGAUUGACAUUCAUGUUGCCUGUUCAUAUAGGACAAAAUGAGCCUAAUCUAUCGCACAAUAUAAAAUGUGCUUUAGCAGCAUAAUUUGUUUCUAUCUAAGAUGCUUUACUUCCCAACAGUCCAUGCCAACAAGUCAACAAGACAUUGACUGUUCCUUCAUAAAUAUAAAAUUCGUUCCACAUGUUAGAUUUGGUUGUAUUACCCAAGACAAUAGUGAGGUAAUCAAGUGAAGGUUAGGUCACUCACAGUCCUUGUAACUUCAUUUGGGCCCACUGGUCAGGUACUCCACCGUGCAAUAAACUUCUGCUUAGAUCUCUGAAUCAUGGAAAUAUGGAUUAUGAUAUUUAUCAUUCUUUUAACACAGCUAAAGCUUAUGGCACAGAUUGGUUGCAUUGGUUGUUUAGAACUUACAAUUGGAGGAGAUUGGGGAAUUCGGCGAAGUCUGGUGGGAGCUCACCAGUGAAGUUCUGACCUGCCAGGGAUCUGCAAAGAUGAUCAAGAUGACAUGUUACACUAUGGCACAAAAUGUGGCAUAAUCUGCUCAGGUCCAAUCGUGUGUGAUCAUCUGUUCCUAGAACUCCAUCAGAAGGUCAAAUUUAUAGCCAAGCAGGAUAUCAAAUUGUAAAGAAUAAUUGUCAAGAACUAGUGCAUACAUGCCAAUGACAUGGCAGAAGGUAUGGUUGUAGAAGGAGCAAUCACAAUUCAACUGCCCCCAAGAGAUUGUGCUAUUGCCGGAGUUGCAUGGAUCAACGGAGAAGUUCCAACGUGAGAUUCCCAUCUUGUCUGCAAGACGGCGAAGAGUUCGCACUGCAAAAUUGCAAGCUCAUAUUUUUCAGGAACUGAAUAGCAUGCAAGAUCACGAGUCAGAUGACAAAAAUAAAGGGUUCCCCAGUUACUACAUCACCAUCCUGCACAAAAAUCAGUAGCACUUAUCAAGCAUAGGACUCCACAAGCAAAGGAGGCCCAAGAAGAACAGGAAGAAAGUACAGUAAGGAACUAAGAAACCUGGAGAAGAAUGCUUACAAGUUACAAGGAAAAAAGAAAAAGGAACUCAGCUUAUCACAAAGCAACUUUCUUUCUCUAGACCAUUGAACUAAGAGAAAAAGUAAAGACGGGAGAGAACCAAAACAUGGGACCUCAGAAACAAUACAGGGGAGGGAGCUGCAGAGAUUGUAGCAUAAGCAUACAUACCUUC